rnacentral:rRNA from 1 species
CCGGACCAUUUUGGGUUUAGAUAAGCCCGCGAGUUGAUGGGAACCUAAAUUUCCCAUAGCAAACUGCUCAGUAACACAUGAUCAACUUACCCUAUAGAGAAAAAUAACCUCGGGAAACUGAGGAUAAUAUUUCAUAAUUGAAUUGGCUUGGAAAAGUUUUUCAAUGAAAAGGAUAAAAAAAAUGGUUUUUAUCUGCUAUAGGAUAGGAUCGUGUUCGAUUAUGGUUGUUGGUGAGGUAAUGGCUCACCAAGCCGAUAAUCGAUAGGGGCCGUGAGAGCGGGAGCCCCGAGAUGGGUACUGAGACAACGACCCAGGCCUUACGAGGCGCAGCAGGCGCGAAACCUCCGCAAUACACGAAAGUGUGACGGGGUUACCCAAAGUGUUCAAUUUGAACUGUGGUAGGUGAGUAAUGUCCCCUACUAGAAAGGAGAGGGCAAGGCUGGUGCCAGCCGCCGCGGUAAAACCAGCUCUUCAAGUGGUCGGGAUAAUUAUUGGGCUUAAAGUGUCCGUAGCCGGUUUAGUAAGUUCCUGGUAAAAUCGGGUAGCUUAACUAUCUGCAUGCUAGGAAUACUGCUAUACUAGAGGGCGGGAGAGGUCUGAGGUCUACAGGGGUAGGGGUGAAAUCUUAUAAUCCUUGUAGGACCCCAGUGGCAAGGCGUCAGACUGAACCCGCCUGCGGUGAGGACAAGCCAGGGGAGCAACCGGAUUAAAUACCCGGUAGU